rnacentral:lncRNA from 1 species
CUUUGGCCUCCUAUUUCCAGGCAGUGUCUGGGAUGGGUCCCAGGCCUGGCCUGCCCUGCACCGGGGAGUCCGUGUUUGGAGUCAACUGAGCUACUGCUUAGGGCGGCAGCUGAGGUGGGUGGGUGCAGCUUGGACAUGAUGCUAUCAGGGACGCUGGGUACCUGGAACAAGGACCGCCUCUCCCUAGUGCCAUCCUGGGAGCUCAGCUCAGAUACUCUGGGGGAAGCCAGUCACUAUUCCACGAGGAAGUUCAACUACCCCACGGAGAAGCUCAUGUAAAGAGGAACUGAGGCCACCAGCCAACAGCUGCAUGAAUGAGCCACCUUAGAAGCGAUCCUCCAGCCCCAGUCAAGCCUUCAGAUGACUGCAGCUCUGACCACCAUCUCACUGCAGCCUCAUGAGAGACCUCAGGCCAGAACCACCCAGCCAAACCACUCUUGAAUUCCUGACCCACCAAAACUGUGAGAGGAUGCAGUGUUCAUUCUCUCCGGAGGGUGCAGCACCAAGUCACCAUCUUGGAAGCAGAGAGCAGCCCUCACCAAUACCAAACCUGCCAGCACCAUGAUCUUGGACUUCUCAGCCUCCAGAACUGUGAGAAAUACAUUUCUGUUCUUUGAAAAUUACCCAGUCUAGGUAUUUUGCUAAAGCAGCAUGAAUGGACCAAGACACCAACCAUCUAAAAAAAAGAUUAAAGGAGCUGAUUCCACCAGCCAGCAUCUUGCUGAUCUUCCACACCAUGGCAUAAAAAGCAGCAAGAGCUUUCACCUAAUGCUAUACAACUGUGCCCCAAACACACACACACACACACACACACACACACACCCUCUCCCCAGAAUGAAAAACCUGAUGUUCUGAUCAGUCACUCUCCAGCUGUGGGUGGUGCUCACUCCUCUUCUGGGCAGAAAUCCCAUGAGAUUAAUUAAAGUCACCCAUCCCCAGGGCCCCCAGAGGCAUAAGUAUCAUUUGCAAUAUAGAUUUUUCCAAUAGUGCCCUCUUGGAAUUGUGCAGUGUGCAGCCUGGACAACAUUAUGUGGUGACCCUGGGUCCUAUACUUUAUGUAGAAUAGUAAGGAAAAAAAAAGAGGGAAAAAAGGAAAUUAGUUAACAUAAACAAAAAUGAACAGGAUAAAGGGGAAAGGUGUAUGGUGGUCCCUCACUCUGCCAUAGUUUCUACUGAUAACUUCCUCCUUCCACCAUCUAGCCAUAAUCCCUCCCCCUUGGCCAGCACCUCAUAUGGUCGUGGUUCUACCUGGGGUAACCCCAUCUGUAUAUAAUACAGCCGUCCCGCUGCAGGCCAGGUCGUGAACCAAGCUUGCAAUAGGAGAUACCCG